GUACACUCCUACGGGAGGCAGCAGUGGGGAAUUUUGGACAAUGGGCGAAAGCCUGAUCCAGCCAUGCCGCGUGCAGGAUGAAGGCCUUCGGGUUGUAAACUGCUUUUGUACGGAACGAAACGGCCUUUUCUAAUAAAGAGGGCUAAUGACGGUACCGUAAGAAUAAGCACCGGCUAACUACGUGCCAGCAGCCGCGGUAAUACGUAGGGUGCAAGCGUUAAUCGGAAUUACUGGGCGUAAAGCGUGCGCAGGCGGUUAUGUAAGACAGUUGUGAAAUCCCCGGGCUCAACCUGGGAACUGCAUCUGUGACUGCAUAGCUAGAGUACGGUAGAGGGGGAUGGAAUUCCGCGUGUAGCAGUGAAAUGCGUAGAUAUGCGGAGGAACACCGAUGGCGAAGGCAAUCCCCUGGACCUGUACUGACGCUCAUGCACGAAAGCGUGGGGAGCAAACAGGAUUAGAAACCCUUGUAGUCCCAUGA
rnacentral:rRNA from 1 species